ACUCCUCAAAUGCUGUAAAAUAUAUGGCAAACUUCCGCAACCACCUGCAGGAACUGCACCUAUUUUUUAGAAAUAGUGCAAAUAGGUCAGCCACCCUGAGAUCUGCCGCUACCACUCUUGGUCUGAACGACCUGAAAGUAAAGGAGGUGAAAGAUACAAGGUGGUUAUCGCAGCACCUAGCUGUUCAAAACCUUCAGAGGAACCUUCCUGCUAUGCUGGCUGCUCUGGCAGAAGAAGCAAGCUCAAGGAAGUGCCCAGUGGCCAAAGGUUUAUACACCUUCUGUGCCACAUAUCGCUUUGUGGCUGCCCUCUACCUUCAGGCAGAUGUGCUGCCCCAUAUAGCGAUGCUUUCCAAGGUCUUUCAGAGGGCUGAUGUGAACUUUCUCCACAUAAAGGAGCAGGUGCCAGUCACCCUUCUUACUCUGGG